UAGAGUUGUAAAACUCCCAAAACCCAUGUGAACAUACCUCUGUUGCCUCGGCGGACUACAGGGCAACUACGAAUAGCUACCAGGUAGGCCACCGAAGGACCACUAAACUCUGUUUUUUUAAUAUCUCUGAGUCAACUAUAAAUAAGUUA
rnacentral:misc_RNA from 1 species